AAGUCGAGGGGCAGCAUCAUCAAAGCUUGCUUUCUUUGCUGGCGACCGGCGCACGGGUGAGUAACACGUAUCCAACCUGCCCGAUACCGGGGUAUAGCCCAUGGAAACGUGGAUUAACACCCCAUAGUACUUUUAUCCUGCAUGGGAUGAUUAUUAAAGAAUUUCGGUUGUCGAUGGGGAUGCGUUCCAUUAGAUAGUAGGCGGGGUAACGGCCCACCUAGUCUUCGAUGGAUAGGGGUUCUGAGAGGAAGGUCCCCACAUUGGAACUGAGACACGGUCCAAACUCC
rnacentral:rRNA from 1 species